rnacentral:tRNA from 1 species
GCAGUGGUGGCCGGGUGGUUAAGGUGUUGGACUUGAAAUCCAAUGGGGUCUCCCUGCGCAGGUUUGAACCCUGCUCAUUGUA